rnacentral:sRNA from 1 species
GCCAGGUGUGGUAGUGCUCACCUGUAACUCAGUAGCUCAGGGGGCUGAGGCAGGAGGAUGGCGAUUUCAAAGCCAGUCUCAGCAAAAGUGAGGCCCUAAGCAACUCAGUAAGACCCUGUCUCUA